UACGAAGGGGGCUAGCGUUGUUCGGAAUUACUGGGCGUAAAGCGCGCGCAGGCGGCUAUCCAAGUCAGUGGUGAAAGCCUGGAGCUCAACUCCGGAACUGCCAUUGAAACUGUUUAGCUGGAGUAUGAGAGAGGUGAGUGGAAUUCCCAGUGUAGAGGUGAAAUUCGUAGAUAUUGGGAAGAACACCGGUGGCGAAGGCGGCUCACUGGCUCAUUACUGACGCUCAUGCGCGACAGCGUGGGGAUCAAACAGG
rnacentral:rRNA from 1 species